rnacentral:tRNA from 1 species
GAGUGUAUAGCUCAGUGGUAAAGUGCAUGCUUAGCAUUCAUGACGUCCUGGGUUCAAUCCCCAGUACCUCU